ACGCACGCUGGCGGCAGGCUUCACACAUGCAAGUCGAGCGCCCCGCAAGGGGAGCGGCAGCCGGGUGAGUAACGCGUGGGAACGUACCUUUUGGUUCGGAACAACUCCGGGAAACUGGAGCUAAUACCGGAUAAGCCCUAACGGGGAAAGAUUUAUCGCCGAAAGAUCGGCCCGCGUCUGAUUAGCUAGUUGGUGAGGUAACGGCUCACCAAGGCGACGAUCAGUAGCUGGUCUGAGAGGAUGAUCAGCCACACUGGGACUGAGACACGGCCCAGACUCCUACGGGAGGCAGCAGUGGGGAAUAUUGGACAAUGGGCGCAGGCCUGAUCCAGCCAUGCCGCGUGAGUGAUGAAGGCCUUAGGGUUGUAAAGCUCUUUUGUCCGGGAAGAUAAUGACUGUACCGGAAGAAUAAGCCCCGGCUAACUUCGUG
rnacentral:rRNA from 1 species